UACGGAGGGUUCAAGCGUUAUUCGGAAUUACUGGGCGUAAAGCGCGCGUAGGCGAUGAUGUAAGUCGGGUGUGAAAGCCCCGGGCUCAACCUGGGAAUUGCAUUCGAUACUGCAUAGCUAGAGUCUGGCAGAGGGAAGUGGAAUUCCGGGUGUAGCGGUGAAAUGCGUAGAUAUCCGGAGGAACACCAGUGGCGAAGGCGACUUCCUGGACCAAGACUGACGCUGAGGUGCGAAAGCGUGGGGAGCAAACAGG
rnacentral:misc_RNA from 1 species